rnacentral:sRNA from 1 species
AAAAAGCUUGGGAUACAAAAAAACGGAUUUGUUAUUCUUUGUAAACUCUUUCUUACAAGAUGGAGUUUUUGAUAAACGGUUAAAUACAACUAAUAUAUGUUUGAUUCCAAAAACGGAACGACCGACACGGAUGACGGAAUUACGACCUAUUAGUCUUUGCAAUGUUGGGUAUAA